CCUAUAUUUUACAAAGCAUGUGAAUUCUGGCAUUAGCUCUCAUAGGAGACCCAUGUGCUUCCUUGCUCAGUGCAAAACUGAUGAUUCUACUUGCUGUAGAUGAAUGGUUAACACGAGCUAGUUAAACAGUGCCAUUGUUUUGCCAGUGAAGCCUCCAACCCUAAGCCACUGGGACGGUGGCCAGAGAUGCCAGCAGCCUCUGUCGCCCUUAGUCAUAUAACCAAAAUCCAGACCUUAUCCACAACCCGGGGCUUGGAAAGGAAGGUAUUUUGGAAUCACACCCUCCGGUUAUGUUGCUCCAGUAAAAUCUUGCCUGGAAAGAGGCAGUCUUCUUAGCAUGCAGCUGCCUUACAAACCUCAAGCCAUGAACCUGGCAUCAAGACCUAUGAGAAGAAGCAAGAGGGCCACGUAGGGGCCUUGGCUUGGUUUACCAACCUCCUUACAGGAGGGUGUCAACAAUCUGUUCACUACCUGACCUAAUGGAAGCUGAAAGUAGAAGAGAA
rnacentral:lncRNA from 1 species